rnacentral:piRNA from 1 species
UGACCUGUUGCCAUAUUAAAAAUGUACCCUGU